AAUUCCUCAAUAGUAGGAGAUGGGUCCAAAGUAGAAUACCCGAAGUCUUUCUGUGCUGAAUCCCCAGUUCUUUCAAGAAUAUCGCUGCCGAAGUGCUUUGUAGGUCAACAACUUCGGGCCAAAUAAUUGCCACAAAUGUCUUUGUGAACUUCCCGAAGAACACACUCUGCUUCGGAUGGAACCAAAUGUUCAAGCAAUGAUGACGAAAAAGGUCCUUCGGUAAAGAUUCUCAUCAAUGAG
rnacentral:lncRNA from 1 species